AGAGUUUGAUCAUGGCUCAGAUUGAACGCUGGCGGCAGGCCUAACACAUGCAAGUCGAGCGGUAGCACAGAGAGCUUGCUCUCGGGUGACGAGCGGCGGACGGGUGAGUAAUGUCUGGGAAACUGCCUGAUGGAGGGGGAUAACUACUGGAAACGGUAGCUAAUACCGCAUAACGUCGCAAGACCAAAGUGGGGGACCUUCGGGCCUCAUGCCAUCAGAUGUGCCCAGAUGGGAUUAGCUAGUAGGUGGGGUAACGGCUCACCUAGGCGACGAUCCCUAGCUGGUCUGAGAGGAUGACCAGCCACACUGGAACUGAGACACGGUCCAGACUCCUACGGGAGGCAGCAGUGGGGAAUAUUGCACAAUGGGCGCAAGCCUGAUGCAGCCAUGCCGCGUGUGUGAAGAAGGCCUUCGGGUUGUAAAGCACUUUCAGCGGGGAGGAAGGCGGUGAGGUUAAUAACCUCAUCGAUUGACGUUACCCGCAGAAGAAGCACCGGCUAACUCCGUGCCAGCAGCCGCGGUAAUACGGAGGGUGCAAGCGUUAAUCGGAAUUACUGGGCGUAAAGCGCACGCAGGCGGUCUGUCAAGUCGGAUGUGAAAUCCCCGGGCUCAACCUGGGAACUGCAUUCGAAACUGGCAGGCUAGAGUCUUGUAGAGGGGGGUAGAAUUCCAGGUGUAGCGGUGAAAUGCGUAGAGAUCUGGAGGAAUACCGGUGGCGAAGGCGGCCCCCUGGACAAAGACUGACGCUCAGGUGCGAAAGCGUGGGGAGCAAACAGGAUUAGAUACCCUGGUAGUCCACGCUGUAAACGAUGUCGAUUUGGAGGUUGUGCCCUUGAGGCGUGGCUUCCGGAGCUAACGCGUUAAAUCGACCGCCUGGGGAGUACGGCCGCAAGGUUAAAACUCAAAUGAAUUGACGGGGGCCCGCACAAGCGGUGGAGCAUGUGGUUUAAUUCGAUGCAACGCGAAGAACCUUACCUGGUCUUGACAUCCACAGAACUUUCCAGAGAUGGAUUGGUGCCUUCGGGAACUGUGAGACAGGUGCUGCAUGGCUGUCGUCAGCUCGUGUUGUGAAAUGUUGGGUUAAGUCCCGCAACGAGCGCAACCCUUAUCCUUUGUUGCCAGCGGUCCGGCCGGGAACUCAAAGGAGACUGCCAGUGAUAAACUGGAGGAAGGUGGGGAUGACGUCAAGUCAUCAUGGCCCUUACGACCAGGGCUACACACGUGCUACAAUGGCAUAUACAAAGAGAAGCGACCUCGCGAGAGCAAGCGGACCUCAUAAAGUAUGUCGUAGUCCGGAUUGGAGUCUGCAACUCGACUCCAUGAAGUCGGAAUCGCUAGUAAUCGUAGAUCAGAAUGCUACGGUGAAUACGUUCCCGGGCCUUGUACACACCGCCCGUCACACCAUGGGAGUGGGUUGCAAAAGAAGUAGGUAGCUUAACCUUCGGGAGGGCGCUUACCACUUUGUGAUUCAUGACUGGGGUGAAGUCGUAACAAGGUAACCGUAGGGGAACCUGCGGUUGGAUCACCU
rnacentral:rRNA from 2 species